rnacentral:rRNA from 1 species
AUUGAACGCUGGCGGCAUGCUUUACACAUGCAAGUCGAACGGUAACAGGCCUUCGGGUGCUGACGAGUGGCGAACGGGUGAGUAAUGCAUCGGAACGUGCCCAAUCGUGGGGGAUAACGUAGCGAAAGUUACGCUAAUACCGCAUAUGCCCUUCGGGGUGAAAGUCUUCGGACGCCAGAGGAUCGGCCUGCGGCCCAUUAUUUAAUCCUUGUUGGUGGGGUAACGGCCUACCAAGGGUACGAUGGGUAGCUGGUCUGAGAGGAUGAUCAGCCACACUGGGACUGAGACACGGCCCAGACUCCUACGGGAGGCAGCAGUGGGGAAUAUUGGACAAUGGGGGAAACCCUGAUCCAGCUACGCCGCGUGGGUGAUGAAGGCCUUCGGGUUGU